UAGUAAUGGCAGGUCAGCAUACUGCCGUGAAUACGUUCCCGGGCCUUGUACACACCGCCCGUCACACCAUGAGAGUUGGAGAUACCCGAAGCCUGUGAGCUAACAAACGAGGCAGCAGUCGAAGGUAGAAUCAAUGAUUGGGGUGAAGUCGUAACAAGGUAGC
rnacentral:rRNA from 1 species